UCUCCGUUGGUGAACCAGCGGAGGGAUCAUUACAGGACUCGCAAGACUCCUUCACCCUGUGAACCUCACUACAAGCACGUUGCUUCGGCGGGUGCCCCGGCUCGCCGGGGCGCGAAGCCCGCCGGCAGCCUACUAUACUCUGUCCCUUUGCGUUGGCAUCUCGAGAAAAAACAAACAAGUUAAAACUUUCAACAACGGAUCUCUUGGUUCUG
rnacentral:misc_RNA from 1 species